rnacentral:rRNA from 1 species
AUGCCAACUUCUCCCCCUCGAACUGAAGCACCAGAAGACCCAGCUGCUGAUACUCAAUUAGACCCUCCUGAGCCGUCAGCUGAUGACACCAUUGUUAACCCCUCUACUGCCGGACCAUCUAGCUCGGCUAACCCACCAUCAUCUUCUGAUCAUGACAUUCUGGUCACUGGAAGCCGUUUUGUUGAGCCAGGGACUCCCACCGUGUUAGCUCGACACACCGCUAAACAAGAAGCCCCGGAGAAACAGAAAGUGUGUUUUGAUAUCUCUCACUACAGUCAUCUGAAUGCUAAUGACAUAUUGUCCGGCUAUCUCAGCCAUGUUCAUUCCAGCCAUGAGUCAGAGAUUGAGAUGGUCAAGCAACUUCAGCUGAAAUAUGAGAACGCCCUAUCUGAAUUGGGCUCCCAAUUAACUGAUGCAAAGACCCGACUGGCGGAUCAAGAGGUAGAAAUCAAGUCUGUUGAUUCUAAACUUCAAUUGAGUCUUGCUGAGACAGAAAAAUUGAAAACCAGCUUGACGGCCAAAAAGAAAUCCUGGGCUGAAGAAAAGACGCUGCUGACACAACGCGCUGAAAAAGCUGAAGCGGCUCUUGAGGAGGUUACCAUGGAGCUUACAGGCUUAAAGAACCGGGUGUCUCAAAUGGUUUCCACCAUCUUUGGCCCGCGAAGCAAAAAUCUGAGCCAAGAUAAUGUGACCAAACUGAAGGUGGUCUAUUCCUUAGUGGAACAGUUGUACACUAGCGCUCAACGAGCACUUGCUGCUAUCUCUCCUGCCAACCAAGCGGCUCAGUGA